rnacentral:rRNA from 1 species
UACGUAGGGACCAAGCGUUGUUCGGAUUUACUGGGCGUAAAGGGCGUGUAGGUGGUUUCGUAAGUCUGGCGUGAAAUUUUUCGGCUUAACCGGGAAAGGUCGUCGGAUACUGCGGAACUAGAGGACGGUAGAGGCGUGUGGAAUUCCGGGUGUAGUGGUGAAAUGCGUAGAGAUCCGGAGGAACACCAGUGGCGAAGGCGACACGCUGGGCCGUACCUGACACUGAUGCGCGACAGCAUGGGGAGCAAACAGG